rnacentral:rRNA from 1 species
AGUGAACGCUGGCGGUAGGCCUAACACAUGCAAGUCGAACGGCAGCACAGGAGAGCUUGCUCUCUGGGUGGCGAGUGGCGGACGGGUGAGGAAUACAUCGGAAUCUACUCUGUCGUGGGGGAUAACGUAGGGAAACUUACGCUAAUACCGCAUACGACCUACGGGGGAAAGCAGGGGACCUUCGGGCCUUGCGCGAUUGAAUGAGCCGAUGUAGGAUUAGCUAGUUGGCGGGGUAAAGGCCCACCAAGGCGACGAUCCGUAGCUGGUCUGAGAGGAUGAUCAGCCACACUGGAACUGAGACACGGGCCAGACUCCUACGGGAGGCAGCAGUGGGGAAUAUUGGACAAUGGGCGCAAGCCUGAUCCAGCCAUACCGCGUGGGUGAAGAAGGCCUUCGGGUUGUAAAGCCCUUUUGUUGGGAAAGAAAUCCAGCUGGCUAAUACCCGGUUGGGAUGACGGUACCCAAAGAAUAAGCACCGGCUAACUUCGUGCCAGCAGCCGCCGUAA